CCUACGGGAGGCAGCAGUGGGGAAUAUUGGGCAAUGGAGGAAACUCUGACCCAGCAACGCCGCGUGAAUGAUGAAGGUCUUCGGAUUGUAAAGUUCUUUUCUAAGGGAAGAAGAACGUGACGGUACCUUAGGAAUAAGCCUCGGCUAACUACGUGCCAGCAGCCGCGGUAAUACGUAGGAGGCGAGCGUUAUCCGGAAGGACUGGGCGUAAAGGGUGCGUAGGUGGUGUGGCAAGUUAGUAGCGUAACUCCAAGGCUCAACCUUGGAACUACUACUAAAACUGUUGGACUUGAGUGCAGGAGGGGCAACCGGAAGUCCUGGUGUAGCGGUGAAAUGCGUAGAUAUUAGGAGGAACACCAGUGGCGAAGGCGGGUUGCUGGACUGUAACUGACACUGAGGCACGAAAGCGUGGGGAGCAAACAGGAUUAGAUACCCUGGUAGUC
rnacentral:rRNA from 1 species